rnacentral:rRNA from 1 species
UACGUAGGGUGCAAGCGUUAAUCGGAAUUACUGGGCGUAAAGGGCUCGUAGGCGGCCAACUAAGUCGGAUGUGAAAUCCCCAGGCUCAACCUGGGAACUGCAUCCGAUACUGGAUGGCUUGAAUCCGGGAGAGGGAUGCAGAAUUCCAGGUGUAGCGGUGAAAUGCGUAGAUAUCGGUAGGAACACCAGUGGCGAAGGCGGUCUCCUGGGGCAUUCUUGACGCUGAGGCGCGAAAGCUGGGGGAGCGAACGGG